CGGUACUCCGAAUNCUCUAGAUUAGAGUUUGAUCAUGGCUCAGGCCUGGAUCACCUCCUUAAAGUUUGAUCAUGGCUCAGAUUGAACGCUGGCGGCAGGCUUAACACAUGCAAGUCGAGCGGGGAAGGGUGGCUUGCUACCUAACCUAGCGGCGGACGGGUGAGUAAUGCUUAGGAAUCUGCCAUUUAGUGGGGGACAACUUCCGAAAGGAAUGCUAAUACCGCAUACGUCCUACGGGAGAAAGCAGGGGAUCUUCGGACCUUGCGCUAAAUGAUGAGCCUAAGUCGGAUUAGCUAGUUGGUGGGGUAAAGGCCUACCAAGGCGACGAUCUGUAGCGGGUCUGAGAGGAUGAUCCGCCACACUGGGACUGAACACGGCCCAGACUCCUACGGGAGGCAGCAGUGGGGAAUAUUAGGACAAUGGGCGGAAGCCUUGAUUCCAGCCCAAUGC
rnacentral:rRNA from 1 species